rnacentral:rRNA from 1 species
CGCGUAGGCGGUGCGGUAAGUCUCCUGUGAAACCUCUGGGCUCAACUCAGAGCCUGCAGGGGAAACUGCCGUGCUGGAGUGUGGGAGAGGCGAGUGGAAUUCCCGGUGUAGCGGUGAAAUGCAUAGAUAUCGGGAGGAACACCAGUGGCGAAGGCGGCUCGCUGGACCACAACUGACGCUGAGGCGCGAAAGCUAGGGUAGCAAACAGGAUUAGAUACCCUGGUAGUCCUAGCCUUAAACGAUGAAUGCUUGGUGUGAUCGGUAUCCAAUCCGAUUGUGCCGCAGCUAACGCGAUAAGCAUUCCGCCUGGGGAGUACGGUCGCAAGGCUGAA